UCCGCGUUCGUCUAGUGGCAGGACACCCGCCUUUGGAGCGGGCAACCGAGGUUCGAAUCCUCGCCGCGGAG
rnacentral:tRNA from 1 species